rnacentral:lncRNA from 10 species
GGCAACGAGAGCGAAACUCCGUCUCAAAAAAAAAAAAAAAAAAGAUUCACUCCUUGCCCAUGGUGGGAUCGUGUGAUAUUCUCACAAUGCUCGCCCUGCUCCGGCCCCACCCCACUCUGCGGGUGGCUUGCUCCUGUUCCCAAAAGCUGCUCCUCCGAGGACGCUUCCUAGUGUGUCUUCACAUCUGGGAUUCCGCGUUUUCAGCUGGCUUAGCUAUUUGUGGCUGUAGUCUUUCCUCCAUUUUUAGAGUAUUUACUGAGCUCAUCAAAGAACCUGAGUGGUAUAUUGAUAGGGAAGACUUUGACUUUGGAUUUGUAGAUGACUUGGGCAAUAUUGUCAGGAUUCUGUUGACUCACCAGGAGCAGGGUGGGCACCGCAGCACUCUGGUUAUGCAGCUGGCCUUGUAGGGGGUAAGCCCCCACCAGCAAAGUGAGUCCGUGGGAGCGGUAGGGUGUUGGGGCACCUGCACCCCUGAACCAUCUCCCUGAGUGAGAACAUGCCUCUCCAGGAUGCUUUCACCACCAGGAACUAACCAGGUGGUCUUGAGACUGGUGAACUCCGUGGACCAAACAGAAUCCAGGCUCCAAGCCUCUCCCUGGCAAGCCUCUUGCCUUUUGGUUCAUGGCAGGAAGCAACACCUCAUGUCAUGCUGGGACUGCAGCCCAAGGCAGGAAAGCACCAGCCUUUCUUAGGACCCCAUGGGUAGCCCCCAACUUCACCAGCCCCUUUCCUGUGAUGUCUCCACACAUCUCUUUGGCCAGAGUCCUGUCACAGCCCAGUCCCACAACGUGGACCUGGGAGGGGCUCCAGGGAGGGGUAUGGAGGGGAUGAGCCCUCUUGUCCACCCCAAAAGCCUGGUCACAGUGGGGACAGCAGCAGGUGCAGUCCAGCUCUGCCCAUCUCCCAGCUAGAGCGGGAGGGAGGCACCACAGGGCUCCUCUAGUCCUGAGGAAUGAGCAUCCUCUGUCCUCCCAAGGCCCAGCCAGGCCAGCUGAUAUGUGCUGCCCGGGGGCCGGGGUGGGAGCCAACAAACUCCCCCUGACCAGCCACUGUCCAGUGGGAAGCUCUAGCCAGACCGUGCUUAGAUCUAGGCAGCGGCUCCCCACAGACACAGGGCUCCAAGUAGCCACACUCCAGAGCCUCUCCAGGACUUCGAAGAGUUUCGCAAAAGUCUAGGGAGAGAAGGAGCACCAAAGCCUCCUUAGUCACAGCCUCUGGGCCUAAUGCACUCCCUUCUGUGGCCAACCUCACCUACCCUGUCACCUCAGACUCAGAAGGAGGGCCGCAGAGCCACCUGGACCUGAGCUUCAAUUCUCUUAAGGCUCUACCAGGGUGACCCUUCAGCGGAGAAUCCAGAGUGGGGGCUGCAUGUGAAUGAAGCUCAAUCAUGGGGGGCUGCAUCUGAAGCUCUCAAGCAAUGGAGGCUGGAUCUGAAACUGUCAAUCACUGGGGGCUGCAUGUGAAGCUGUCAAUCACUGGGGGCUGUAUCUGAAGCUCUCAAUCAGUGGGGGCUGCUCUGGGGCUCUCAAUCAAUGGGGCUGCCUCUGAGGCUCUCAGUCAAUAGGAGCUGCAUCUGAGACUCAGUCAAUAGGGCCUGCAUCUGAGACUCUCAAUCAAUGAGGACUGCAUCUAAGACUCUCAGUCAAUAGGGGCUGCAUCUGAGACUCAGUCAAUGAGGACUGCAUCUGAGAGUCAAUCAAUAGGGGUUGUGUCUGAGACUUAAUCAAUGGGAGCUGCCUCUGAGACUCUCAAUCAAUGGAGGCUGCGUGUGAAGCUCUCAAUCAAUGAGGGGUGCAUCCGGGACUCUCAAGCAACGGGGGGUACAUCUGAGACUCUCAAGCAAUGGGGGCUGCACGUGAAGCUCUCAAUCAAUGGGGGUGCAUCUGAGACACUCAAGCAAUGGGGGCUGCAUGUGAAGCUCUCAAUGGAGGCUGCAUCUGGGGCUCUCAAUCAAUGGAGGCUGAUUCUGAAGCUCUCAAUCAAUGGGGGCCGCAUCUGAAUCUCUCAAUCAAUGGAGGCUGCAUCUGAAGCUGUCACUCAGUGGGGGCUCCAUGUGAACCUCUCAGUCAAUGGGGGCUGCAUCUGAGACUCUCAAUCAAUGCGGGCUGCAUUUGAGAUUUCAAUCAAUAGGGGCUGCAUCUGGGGCUCUCAAUCAAUGGAGGCUGAUUCUGAAGUUUUCAAUCAAUGGGGGCCACAUCUGAAUCUCUCAAUCAAUGGAGGCUGCAUCUGAAGCUGUCACUCAGUGGGGGCUCCGUGUGAACCUCUCAGUCAAUGGGGGCUGCAUCUGAGACUCUCUAUCAAUGGGGGCUGCAUCUGAGACUAUCAAUGGGGGCUGCUCUGGAGCUCUCAAUGGGGCUUCCUCUGGGGCUCUCAGUCUAUGGGGCUGCAUCUGAGACUGCCAAUCAAUGGAGGCUGCAGUUGAGACUUCAAUCAAUAGGGGCUGCAUCUGAGAGUCAUUGAGGGUUGUGUCUGGGAAUCAGUGGGGACUGCCUCUGAGACUCUCAGUCAAUGGGGGCUGCACCUGAGACUUUCAAUCAACAGGGGCUGCAUCUGAGACUCAAUCAAUAGGGGCUGCAUCUGAGACUCUCGAUCAAUGGGGGCUGCAUCUGAGACUCUCUAUCAGUGGGGCUGCCUCUGGGGCUCUCAGUCUAUGGGGGCUGCAUCUGAGAGUCAAUCAACAGGGGCUGCAUCUGAAACUUAAUCAAUGGGAGCUGCCUCUGAGACUCUCAAUCAAUGGGGACUGCAUGUGAAGCUCUCAAUCAGUGGAGGCUGCACCUGGGGAUCUCAACCAAUAGGGGCUGCAUCUGAGACUCAAUCAAUGGGGCUGCAUCUGAGACUCAAUCAGUGGAGGCCGCAUCUGAGACUCUAAUCAAUGGAGGCCGCAUCUGAGACUCAAAACGGUGUGGGAGUGCACGGCAAAUCUGGCCUUUGGUGCCCUCUGGUGGGCAUUGCAUGCCCUGCUGACCAGUCUGAGGACAGAGAUGAGGGAAAGAAAUCAGGGUAGCGUGGGGCUGUCCAGGGUUUUCCCCACCGACAUGGAUGACAGGGUGACCCUGAAGAAGUCACUCUUUUCUCUUAGCCUUGGCUUCCUAAUCUGCAAAGAUGGUGACAGAUACAUUCCAUUUCAAAAGGCUGCCAGGGUCUAGGCGCAGCUGCUCAUGCCUGUAAUAUCAGGUGCACUUUGGGAGGCUGAGGGAGGAGGAUCACUUGAGCCCAGGAG